UACGUCCAUAUCCCGCUGAAACACCGAUUCUCGCCCAAUCACCGAAGGUAAGCAACGUCGAGCCUGGUCAGUACGUAGAAGAGUGAACGCUUGGGAAUACCAGGUAGUGUAA